rnacentral:rRNA from 1 species
GAUGAACGCUGGCGGCGUGCUUAACACAUGCAAGUCGAACGAUGAAGCCCAGCUUGCUGGGUGGAUUAGUGGCGAACGGGUGAGUAACACGUGAGUAACCUGCCCUUGACUCUGGGAUAAGCCUGGGAAACUGGGUCUAAUACUGGAUAUGACUUCUCAUCGCAUGGUGGGGGGUGGAAAGAUUUAUUGGUCUUGGAUGGACUCGCGGCCUAUCAGCUUGUUGGUGAGGUAAUGGCUCACCAAGGCGGCGACGGGUAGCCGGCCCGAGAGGGUGACCGGCCACACUGGGACUGAGACACGGCCCAGAAUCCUACGGGAGGCAGCAGUGGGGAAUAUUGCACAAUGGGCGCAAGCCUGAUGCAGCGACGCCGCGUGAGGGAUGACGGCCUUCGGGUUGUAAACCUCUUUCAGUAGGGAAGAAGCGAGAGUGACGGUACCUGCAGAAGAAGCGCCGGCUAACUACGUG